UACGUAGGGGGCAAGCGUUGUCCGGAAUCAUUGGGCGUAAAGAGCGUGUAGGCGGCUUGGCAAGUCUCGCGUGAAAUCCUGCGGCUCAACCGCAGGCGGUCGCGGGAAACUGCCUCGCUAGAGUCCGGAAGAGGAGAGUGGAAUUCCUGGUGUAGCGGUGGAAUGCGCAGAUAUCAGGAAGAACACCCGUGGCGAAGGCGGCUCUCUGGGACGGUACUGACGCUGAGACGCGAAAGCGUGGGGAGCAAACAGG
rnacentral:rRNA from 1 species